rnacentral:misc_RNA from 1 species
UACUUGUAUAUAUAUAUGUAUACAUGAUGUGCAACAUUUUGGCUUGACAUGGCCAGUUUAAAUGGUAGAUAGUUUUUAACGAUUGAACUGAGAACCACAUUUUCAAUAACCUCUCUCGAAAAUUCCACAGUAUAGAACAUGUAACUUCAUCUCCUGUUAAUUAGUAUUUAAUUAUUGUAAAAGAAAUAGUAAAUAGUCCUGUUGAUAAAACGUAAAAUCUGAAAACGAUUUUUUUUUGUCAUUUUCACAGUAGCUGUAGAAGCAAAAGUCGUGUGGAAUGCACAUCGAAAUGCAAAUAUAACCAAAGGUUCCCAAAGUGAAGUCAAACUGGGGCCAGACACAAAAGCAGAUGAAACCAAGGAUUCCCGAAAUGGUGGUGAAAGCAGAACUGUUACAAGUAGUGAUGGAUCUUCUACUACUAUCAGACCUGAUAUGGGAACAACAAAAGAGCCUGGAUCAUACGCAGCAGUAACCAGCAUGCCCAACUAUGCCGUAGUGGUACUUUGCGUACUUGG